GACGAACGCUGGCGGCGUGCUUAACACAUGCAAGUCGAACGGAAAGGCCCUGCUUUUGUGGGGUGCUCGAGUGGCGAACGGGUGUGUAACACGUGAGUAACCUGCCCUUGACUUUGGGAUAACUUCAGGAAACUGGGGCUAAUAUCGGAUAGGAGCUCUUGCUGCAUGGUGGGGGUUGGAAAGUUUCGGCGGUGGGGGCUGGACUCGCGGCUUAUCAGCUUGUUGGUGGGGUAGUGGAUUACCAAGGCUUUGACGGGUAGCCGGCCUGAGCGGGUGACCGGCCGCAUUGGGACUGAGAUACGGCCCAGACUCCUACGGGAGGCAGCAGUGGGGAAUAUUGCACAAUGGGCGGAAGCCUGAUGCAGCAACGCCGCGUGCGGGAUGACGGCCUUCGGGUUGUAAACCGCUUUCGCCUGUGACGAAGCGUGAGUGACGGUAAUGGGUAAAGAAGCACCGGCUAACUACGUG
rnacentral:rRNA from 1 species